ensembl:rRNA 5S_rRNA 5S ribosomal RNA
UAUCACAGCCAUAUCACCCUGCAGCCCGAGACUGGUUGCCCACUGAAGCUAAGCAGGGUUGAGCCUGGUCAGUACCUGGAUGGGAGACCUCCUGGGAAAGCUAGGUUGCUGUUGGAA